AUGGCCACAGCUGCCUGCUCCCCGUGCUCCCGAGGCUGGUGUGCGUGCAGGAGGGGAGGCGCUGCCCUUUGCUGCUGGAGGCCUGGAGGAGAGCACAGUGAGAUGGGUAGGGGUUGGCUGGAGCUGGGGUGGCCACAGGCUUCGUGGCACCGAGAUGCUGUUGGAGCCACAUCCCUCCUGCCCCAGCUCCUGUCCUGGGGGACGUGGGGUCAGCUGUUGGUCCAGGACACGCGUGGGCUGUCCCUGUCAGAUCCACUGCUGGGAGCUUUCUGCCCUCAGCUGCUCUCCCAGCCAGGUCUCCCCCCACCCCAAAGAACUCACCUCUGCCCCCAUCUUCCCAUACACAAUCUCCCUUCCCCUCACCAGGUGUCCUCUUUUCCCUGGGGUGGAAGGAGAUGCCCUGAGCAGAUAAAUCCAUUCCCAGAGGCUCCUUUGCACUUCUGGCCUCUGUGGCAGGAGCACAGCAGUAGUGCUGCGGGGCAGUGCUGCCCGUGGUGGGAGCAGACGUGUCCUCCAGACACAGGAGCAAGGCUCUGUGCCACCGGGACCCGGUGGCUGCUCCCUCCAUGCAGCAGUUCCCCAAAGCUCCUGUCUGUGAAAGCAGAAGUGUUUCAGCCCCGGGAGUUUCCUGGCAGCAGGUUCCUGUUCAACCUCAUCCAAGGCCUCGUCCUGAGCAUUGGUGGAGCACACUGGGCAAAAAUCCUCCCGAAAUCCACGUUGCUUAUGGCCAAGGUGUCAGAUAGGUGUGCUUGUGCGUGUGGAUUCCCAGGUGUGCCAACCACCAGCCUCUUCCCCAAGGCUGGGCGAGAACACAGGCCUCAUUUUGGGACGCAGCAGAGGUCUCUGAAGCAGCACCCAGGCUCGGGGACGGGAAGAGAUGCCGGAGGAGCCGUCUGCACAGAGCUAAGUGUUGCUUCGUUUUCUUCCUGCUCCAAACAACACUCCCGGCUGUACAGACAGCGUGAGCACCAAAGUAAAAACGCAGACAGCAAAGCACAACGAGCAAGCUGCUCCCACGGGAUUGCAUAG
rnacentral:lncRNA from 1 species